ACGGGAGGCAGCAGUGGGGAAUAUUGGGCAAUGGGCGAAAGCCUGACCCAGCGACGUCGCGUGAAGGAAGAAGGCCCUCGGGUUGUAAACUUCAGUCAACAGGGAAGAAAACAAUGACGGUACCUGUGGAGGAAGCCACGGCUAACUACGUGCCAGCAGCCGCGGUAAUACGUAGGUGGCGAGCGUUAUCCGGAUUUACUGGGUGUAAAGGGUGUGCAGGCGGGUCAGCAAGUCAGAUGUGAAAAUUAUGGGCUUAACUCAUAACUUGCAUUUGAAACUGUUGAUCUUGAGUAUCGGAGAGGUAGAUGGAAUUCCCAGUGUAGCGGUGAAAUGCGUAGAUAUUGGGAGGAACACCGGUGGCGAAGGCGGUCUACUGGACGAAAACUGACGCUGAGACACGAAAGUGUGGGGAGCAAACAGGAUUAGAUACCCUGGUA
rnacentral:rRNA from 2 species